rfam:Rattus norvegicus chromosome 15, whole genome shotgun sequence.
GUGGAGAUGGCUCAGUGGUUAAGAGCACUGACUGCUCUUCCAGAGGUCCUGAGUUCAAUUCCCAGCAACCACA